AGAAAAGCAGGCCUCUUGGAACUGGUGAAGCUAAUGGGCGUUUGGUUUUACUUGGAACAACUACUUCCAUGGCAGCUGCCAGUGCAUACUUCUUGUACAUCCUAAGCACAAAGUUCACUGGGGAAUUUUGUCCGUACUGUUUAGCUUCUGUCUUAUUGUCAUUUAGUUUGUUCAUCAGCAGUAUGAAGGGUUUGGGCUUUCAAGAGGUGCAAAAAGAUGUGGGUAUACAGUUACUUAUAGUUCUCUUGGUGGUUUCUACCCUAAACAAUUCAUACAGUGACUCUCAGCCUACAAACACAGGUUCUGCUCUGGCUGAGAUGGAAUACUUUACAACAGAGAUCACAUCAGAGUCUACACCUUUUGCUAUAUCCCUAGCGAAACACCUGCAUUCAAUUGGGG
rnacentral:misc_RNA from 1 species